UGAGGAAUAUUGGUCAAUGGGCGGGAGCCUGAACCAGCCAAGCCGCGUGAGGGAGGAAGGCCCUAUGGGUCGUAAACCUCUUUUGUCAGGGAACAAAAGCGAGUAUGUAUACUAGUCUGAGUGUACCUGAAGAAAAAGCAUCGGCUAACUCCGUGCCAGCAGCCGCGGUAAUACGGAGGAUGCGAGCGUUAUCCGGAUUUAUUGGGUUUAAAGGGUGCGUAGGCGGCGGUGCAAGUCAGCGGUAAAAGCCCGGGGGCUCAACCCCGGCGAGCCGUUGAAACUGCAGUGCUAGAGAAGGCGAGAGGUACGCGGAAUGCGCAGUGUAGCGGUGAAAUGCUUAGAUAUUGCGCAGAACUCCGAUUGCGAAGGCAGCGUACUGGCGCCUGACUGACGCUGAGGCACGAAAGCGUGGGGAUCGAACAGGGAUUAGAUACC
rnacentral:rRNA from 1 species